GUUGAACGCUGGCGGCAGGCCUAACACAUGCAAGUCGAACGGUAACAGGAAGAAGCUUGCUUCUUUGCUGACGAGUGGCGGACGGGUGAGUAAUGUCUGGGAAACUGCCUGAUGGAGGGGGAUAACUACUGGAAACGGUAGCUAAUACCGCAUAACGUCGCAAGACCAAAGAGGGGGACCUUCGGGCCUCUUGCCAUCGGAUGUGCCCAGAUGGGAUUAGCUUGUUGGUGGGGUAACGGCUCACCAAGGCGACGAUCCCUAGCUGGUCUGAGAGGAUGACCAGCCACACUGGAACUGAGACACGGUCCAGACUCCUACGGGAGGCAGCAGUGGGGAAUAUUGCACAAUGGGCGCAAGCCUGAUGCAGCCAUGCCGCGUGUAUGAAGAAGGCCUUCGGGUUGUAAAGUACUUUCAGCGGGGAGGAAGGGAGUAAAGUUAAUACCUUUGCUCAUUGACGUUACCCGCAGAAGAAGCACCGGCUAACUCCGUG
rnacentral:rRNA from 1 species